rnacentral:rRNA from 1 species
UCCAGCAGCCAUAUCAUUCUCACUCACAACUGGCAACCCACUGAAGCGAAGCAGGUGUGUGCCUUGUCAGUACCUGGAUGGGGGACCUCCUGGAAAACUAAGGUUGCUGCUGGAA